AUGAGUUCAAUAUCUUUGUCCCAAAGUAAAUAUUUCAGAAAGGUCCUCCUCUCCUUCAACUUGCCUACCUCUACUAUACCAUUAUCAUUUUAUUGUGAGUCACCGCUUAGUGCCACAUCCAGUUUAAUAUUCUUCUCCCCUUCUAAGCUUCUCUGCUUCUCUAUUCACCAUGAAGCCAAGAUCCCAAAGGAACAACAAUAUAAAGGACUUCAGAGAUCAUCAAGACAAAUGAGAAAACUGAAGGACCCCAGACUGUCUGAAGCCUGGAAUGUUCUAGAAUUCUGGUUGGGAAUGAGGACUGGAAUUGUUAUUUCAUUGAUCUAGGGAACUCUCGUGUGUAGCAGAAAGGAUGAAGAUCAGCAAGGGCAUACACAAACCACAGUUUAUUUAACCUUUCCCUAGAUAAUAAAGGUUGACCAUGAUUGGCA
rnacentral:lncRNA from 1 species